GGGGUUGUAGCUCAGUGGUAGAGCACAUGCCUUGCAUGCAUGAGGCACUGGGUUCGAUCCUCAGCACCACA
rnacentral:tRNA from 1 species